UUACUAGAGUAGCACUCGCAUAUCAAUAAGCGGAGGAAAAGAAACUAACAAGGAUUCCCCUAGUAACGGCGAGUGAAGCGGGAAGAGCUCAAAUUUGAAAUCUUAAAGGGUCUCCCUUUACGAAUUGUAGUUUAAAGAAGUGUUUUCUGUUGAGGUUUUGGUAAAAGUUCUUUGGAAUAGGACAUCAUAGAGGGUGAGAAUCCCGUAUUUGACCUUUACUUUCAACUUUGUGAUACACUUUCAAAGAGUCGGAUUGUUUGGGAAUGCAGUCCAAAAUGGGUGGUAAAUUUCAUCUAAAGCUAAAUAUUGGCGAGAGACCGAUAGCGAACAAGUACCGUGAGGGAAAGAUGAAAAGAACUUUGAAAAGAGAGUUAAACAGUACGUGAAAUUGUCAGAAGGGAAGCGUUUGACACCAGUGUUGUUUUUCUGAAAAUCAAUUAAAGAACUGUUUAUGCUAAGCUGUUUAGACUUUAUCAGCUAUCUGUUUAGUUUUGAGCUUUUCUUUAAUGCACUUUUCAGUUAACAAGUCAACAUCAAUUUCCUUUGCUGUAAAAAAGCUUGAGGAAGGUGGCUUGAGAUUCGUCUUAAGUGUUUAUAGCCUCUUGCCUAUGCAGUCGGAGAGAUUGAGGUCUGCAGCGUAGAUCCUUCGGGGCUAAAUGCAUUUGUGCUAAGUUAUAGCAUUUUAUAGACAACUUGUUGACUAUGAUUUGUCUUGUAGCUUACUCGCUUAUGUUAUUUUACCUACGCUUAGGAUGUUGAGCGCAUGUCUCUCUCU
rnacentral:rRNA from 1 species